GAGCCACUUCUGUGGCCUAUACUACAGCUUGCAGCAAUGCCAGAUCCUUAACCCGCUGAGCGAGGCCAGGGAUUGAACCCAUAUCCUCAUGGAUAUUGUCAGGUUCUUAACCUGCUGAGCCACAGUGGGAACUCUGAAGGAAUAUUCUUAAAAUGUCUUAGUUUUGAUUUUGAAUGUAAUAAAUAACUUCAGGUGUAAUGCACAGAAACAAAGCUCUUUGGGGUCUUUAACAUAUUUUAUGAGUAUUAACGAGGUCCCAAGACCAAAAAUUUUGAGGACACUUGGCAUAGUGCACAAGAACAUGGACUCUGGGGUCAGAUCUUCCUGAGUUCAAAUCCUCAUCACCAUAUCUCAUGAGAGAGAGGGUCUUGGGCACAUUGUUCCCACUCUCUCUGCCUUACUUGUCCCAUUUAUCUCAUGGGGAUGAGAACAAUAAUUCCUAUCUCCUUGUAAUGCUAAACAGGCUAAUACUGAUCAUUCUGAGAACAUUUCCUGAAGGUAUUAGCUCUUGUCUGAUUCCAGAGCCAGUGUUCUUUCCACUAGAUUCACUUUUCUCAGCAUCACCUUCCUAAUUUCUGAGACUUAUUUUUAAAGCCCCUCAGCUUAUCCAUUGCAUGCUUUUGCAAAUAUAUUCCCUACUGAUCAGAGAACAUAAUACAGUAGCAUUCUAGCCAAAAAUGGGGCUAGCUUGGAAAACAUGCUAUUUAGCCUUUGAAUAGAGGUUAAAUGCACUAUCUAGACAAAGGAAAUUAUUUUAAAAGCAUACCUGGCUUUGCUAUAGAUUUAGAAGUGCUCUGUGGAUUUGAACUUAGGUAUUUUUUUUAGAAUUGACUGGCUCUGAUCAAGUAUUUUGAUUAUGAAAGUGAGCACUGCUAACAUACCAACAGGCACUGGGUUGCAUUAAUUUUUCCAGCAAAUACUUAUGGAGCCCCUCCUUUGUGAUCAGUAUGCUUCUUGGUAUGGGAAGAAAACAGAUGAAAGCAAAUGAUGGCAGGAAUGUGUAUUCUGCAUGGGACUAUCAGGGGAGAGACAAACUACAAACAAAUAAAAAUGAAUAGCCUAUUAGCUGAUAAUAGGCACAAUGAAGAAAGAUAAAGCAGGGAGAGGGUAUGGGAUGAGAAUGUGGGCUGCAAUUUUCAUGAAGAUAAUUAGAAUCACUGCAGAGGGGAUUUCAGAGUAAACCUGAGGAUGUGAUCCAUGUGGAUAUCUGGGCAGAAGAAUGCUAGCCACAGGGAGUUGCAAGAGCAAAGACCUAACAGAAAUCUUCCUGGUGUUUUACAGUAACGACGAGGAGGCCAGUGCGGAAGGAGUUGAGUGGUCAAGGCAAGGGUAGAAGAUGUAAUCAGAGAGGUAAGGCAAGCUGGACAACAUAGGGUUUCAGUAGCCUUUACACACUGAUUUGGAGACAUUGAGGAAAGGUGGGACAUGUUCUGCCUUCAUUCUAACAGAAUCAGAGAAUCUACUAGGAUAUUAUUAAAAUAACAUGGUCAGAGAUCCCAGUGACUUGGGUUAUGAAGUAGCCAUGGAGGUGGUGACCCAUGGGCAGAUUCCAGAUCUAUUUUGAAACUAGAGCCAAUGGGAGUUGCUGAUAUACAGGAUGUGUGGCUUGAGAAAAAGCAUGGAACUGAGGAUCACUCUCAACCUGGAUGCCUGGUAGAAUAUCUGAGACAGAGGAGACUAAGAAAGGGGCAGAUUUGUUGGGAGAAGAGGGGAGAUCAGAGAUCAGGUUUGAAUAUGUUAACUGUGGGAUGCCUACCAGGUACCCAGAUUUCUUCAGAUAACACUCAAGGAUGAUCCAAAUUGAUGCAAGCAGCUGAUAGAUUGUGAGAAGUUGCUAAAAGCAUUUUAGGUGGCUGCAUUUCUUUCUUGAAAAAGAAGCCUGGAAAAUUACAUCUAAGUUUUUUUUUUUUUUUUUUUUUUUAACAUUGCUCUGGUGCAGUUCCAGAACCGAACACCCUACUCCAGGUGCAGUCUUAUUAAAGUUUUAGAAGAAAAGACUAUCUGUUUUGAGACACAAUGCCUCUACUUAUGGAGCUAAAAAUAGGCCAGCUCUCACUCCCUAGUGUGUACAGGGAUCUCUAAUUGGCCAUUCACUCAUGCCCAUGUUGCUUUGACAAGUGAACAUGCAAAGCUCACCUGUCCACCACUCAUACUGUAUCUGGGUUUUAGAUUCAUUUUACUUUUCUUAUAGCUUCUUUUGCCUUUCUCACCAACUUUUUCUCCUGCAUUUUUCCCCUCUCACUGAUGCUAUUGUUGAGUCUGGCUGCCUGAUCCAUUGUCAUUAAUCACAAAAACAGCCUUUCCCAAUUUAGUAUCCUCUGCAGAUUUCAUUAACGAGCUGUUGGUAUUUUUGUCCUGAUAUUUCCCAAGAAUGUCCAAUAAUACAGAUAAUCAUUUUACAAUUAAAGUCAGGGAAAGGUCUGUUUUUUGUUUUUGUUUUUGUUUUAGGAUGAAAAGGGAUAGGCUUUCUGUUGUUAUUUUUAAUAGCUCCUUUGCUCAGAAAACGGACAAGAAAAAAGGAACAGGGACAGAUUUUUUUUUCUGAGGAUGCUAAUCCAUUUGUGGGUUGGGGAGACUUGGCCAGAAGCUUAAAUGAUAUUCCUCAUCUACAUUAUGGCACAUAUACUUUCUAAACAAAGGCAAAAAGGAAACACAAAUUUCAUAACCUAAAAUCUCUUCAGUUUCAUCAGAUGCCAGUAAGCAAAUGCCAUGGCAGAAUAAAACAUAUUAAUAUGUUUGACAUAAUGAUCGUGCCUGUUUCUCCUUAAUAAGCCAAGCUUAGGAUUUCCAACCAUAUAGAGGCAGGGCAGGGCUGUCAAAGUACCAAAUGUGCUCCAGACUUCUAAGGGACAUUUCCUUAAUGGACCAUCUAAGCACUUGUCUCCACAUCAGCAGUGAUGCAAACAUGACAUGUCUGAGCUGGAGAGUCACUCGUGUGCGCAGACAACUUCAUGAAGUCAUGGGAGAGGACUUGGAGAGGAAUUUUUAACAGGGAACACAUUUCAGGGCUCAGCUAUAGGCUGAACACUCAGAAAGGAAUUCCCUUUCAGCUACUCUGUGAAUCCAUGGAGCAGAGCCGUUCUAUUUUAGCUCUGCACAGCUGGUCAAAUGAGAAGCUCUAUUUUUCUCUUCUCAGAGCAGAGAAACAUCUUUUUUUUUUUUACAUUAGAAAGAUUUAAAUUAUAGUUGAUUUACAAUGUUGUGCCAAUUUCUGCUGUACAGCAAAGUGACCCAGUCAUUCAUAUAUAUAGGAAUAUACACAGACACAUACUUUUCUUUUUUUAAUAUUGUUUUCCAUCAUAGUCUAUCCCAGGAGAUUGGAUAUAGUUCCUUGUGCUGUACAGUAGAACAUUGUUAUAAACCCAUUUUAAAUGUAAUAGUUUGCAUCUAUUAACCACCAACUCCCAGUCCAUCCCACUUCCUCCCCCAUCCUCCUUGGCAACCACAAGUCUGUUCUCCAUGUCUCCAAGUGUGGAGAAACAUCUUGUUCACGAUUUUUAGAAUGAUUGUCCCUGAUUCUUUUCGGUGAUUUUUGUUUUGUUUCUCUCAACUGGGAUAUUUCUUCUCACCUAGGUAAUUCCCCACCUUAAUUUUUUUGGCUCAUGAGUAAGGUUUGUUUUUGUUUGUUUGCUUGCUUGGAACAAAAAUCACAUUGGGUUAGCUUCAUCAAAAAUAAGGCUCUGCCAUACAGAUGCAAUGAUAUUACAAUGGAAUGAUGAGUAGGAAUGCAGCGAGGGCUCGGAAAAGACCAGAAGAGUGAACUUUGAGGGAAGGCAGAAAGCGGAGCAUACACUGUCUCCAACUCUGCUUGUAUCUGCACAUCUGUUGCCUUUUUUUUUUUUUUUUUUUUUGAUGACUCAUCUCUGCUCCUCAUUCCACAUGGUGGGAGAAAGAUGCCCACACACAGCUCCCAGGGACACAUGUUGAAGUUCUGGACAAGUGGGGUGACUGAAUACAUUCCAUUCUCUAGCUCUCUGCUCUAAUUCCAAAUUCCUGGGAAACAUUGACCUAACUGACUUCAGCUCUCACUCCAGGUCCAGUUGGCUGUGAAAUUCCCUAGCAUGGCUUCUAUGAGUCCAUUGCUCUGAGUCAGAUGAAAACUAAAGAAAUAAUGGUGAGCAUUUCAGAAACUCCAAAAAGUGUCUUCCAUUGUUGCGGGAGGGUAUUCAGGGCCAGAUGAAUUUAGAAAAGCAAAAAUGAAGGGCACAAGAAAGGAAAACUCUGUUCUCAUUUUUCAUGCAAAGUAGGACACAGUAUUCCAAACAUACCCUCCUCACCCCCCAGCCCCACAGAAUCUGUCAAAUGAUGCUUAGGAGCGGUUUAGCAGACAGACUGAAAAAAUCGGCAGACUCGUCCUAUGUUUUCAACACCAUGAAAACAUCAGACUUGGCUCUCCUACAUUAUUCACCCACAAAGCAUCUUCCCUCUGAAUGGCUCAUGUGCUGGACGAGAAGAUAAAGUUCUGUCUUCAGGACUGUCUUAAAAUGCAAGGGAAGAGUGUGAGACCUGAUUGUCUUUUUGAUUUGGGUUUUAAGACUUUGGCACAUAGACAAACAUCAGUUUGUAAGGACUCCACGUAAUUUUUUCAGUGAAUGUUUUCUGAGCAUCUCCAGUACACCAGCUGCUCUGUCAGGUAGUGAUAGUUAUUUUUAUAAUGACAAGUAUAUGAAAACUUAACAUAUCAGCUCAUCUACUUGGAGAGCCUGGAAUAGCCCUAGCUAAAUAGACCAAGUAAUUCAAGCAAAUGUCAUCAGAAUUUGGCCACUGUACAUCUUUUUCUUAUGCUUCUACUUCACUACUAUCCAGGAUCUCUCUACAUGGUAGCUCCAGAUUUAUAUUGUCUGAUUUAAACAUUAAAAAAGAAAAAAAGAAAAGAAAAAAA
rnacentral:lncRNA from 1 species